GGGCACAUGGUGUAGUUGGUUAUCACGCCCGCUUAGCAUUGCGCUGAGUGCGGGCGGUCCCCGGUUCAAUUCCGGGUGUGUCCA